CAUCCAACCCAUCGCCAUGGCUGCAAAAUCACCAUAAUCUCUUCUCCACUUCUCAAAUCACUCUUCUUACAUCUUAAUUCUCCAUUUCCGGUGAUGGUGCGUUCAUGUUCCUGGGACACUUCCUUAUUUCCACCACCCAGCAAUCCAGAAGUAUAAGAAUAAUAUGAUUUUUCUUACGGGUGGCUAUUACGAUCAGAUCCCCACCCUAUAUCUUAUCGACUUUAAAGGAAGACGGUUUUCGGUUGAAUAUCUACAUUGAAGAUGGAAAACGAACGCGACGUUAGAUGGAUUUAGUACUUUGGAGCCGACGCAAAUACCUACUUUUGUUCAUAUAUCGUACUUGUUGGUAAAUUACAUGUAUCGAUUGUUUUGUUUUGUAAUUAAUUUCUUUCGGUGUUGUGUUUUAGUGAGUGAUUGUAAUUUAGUAUCUUGAAUCAGUUCGAGGUAACGACUUUUAAUGAUGUCGGUACCUAUUAUUAAUUACAGGUACAGAUAAAUACUACUAUUUGUACCUGAGAGUGAUUCAAGGUACUCACUUUUUUGUGUA
rnacentral:lncRNA from 1 species